rnacentral:rRNA from 1 species
GGGUCAGUAGGUCGAUCAUGCCAAUGGUAUGUACUGGCUUUACUAAUUCCUCCUUCUUGAUAAAUUGCAAUGUCAUUAAUUUGAUAUUGCGGGGAGUCAGGACUGUUACUUUGAAAAAAUUAGAGUGUUUAAAGCAGGCUUAUGCUUAAAUACAUUAGCAUGGAAUAAUAAAAUAGGACGCUCAAUCCUAUUUUGUUAGUUUCUAGAAUUAAUGU